rnacentral:rRNA from 1 species
GAUGAACGCUAGCGGCAGGCUUAACACAUGCAAGUCGAGGGGUAUAGUUCUUCGGAGCUAGAGACCGGCGCACGGGUGCGUAACGCGUAUGCAAUCUACCUUUUGCAGAGGGAUAGCCCAGAGAAAUUUGGAUUAAUACCUCAUGGUAUGUGAGAAUGGCAUCAUUCUCACAUUAAAGUCACAACGGCAAAAGAUGAGCAUGCGUCCCAUUAGCUAGUUGGUAAGGUAACGGCUUACCAAGGCGACGAUGGGUAGGGGUCCUGAGAGGGAGAUCCCCCACACUGGUACUGAGACACGGACCAGACUCCUACGGGAGGCAGCAGUGAGGAAUAUUGGACAAUGGGCGCAAGCCUGAUCCAGCCAUGCCGCGUGCAGGAUGACGGUCCUAUGGAUUGUAAACUGCUUUUGUACAGGAAGAAACACUGGUUCGUGAACCAGCUUGACGGUACUGUAAGAAUAAGGAUCGGCUAACUCCGUGCCAGCAGCCGCCGUAAAAC